UAAUACGGAGGGAGCAAGCGUUGUCCGGAAUCACUGGGCGUAAAGGGCAUGUAGGCUGGCAGUUAAGUCAGAAGUGAAAUCUACUCGCUUAACGAGUGAACUGCUUUUGAUACUGGCUGUCUUGAGUGCUGGAGAGGUGAGCGGAAUUCCAGGUGUAGCGGUGAAAUGUGUAGAUAUCUGGAAGAACACCGGUGGCGAAGGCUGCUCUCUGGCCAGAUACUGACGCUGAAAUGCGAAAGCGUGAGGAGCGAACAGGAUUAGAUACCCUGGUAGUCCACGCCCUAAACGAUGGAUACUAGGUGUUGGGGGUGUCGACCCCCUCAGUGCCGCAGCUAACGCAUUAAGUAUCCCGCCUGGGGAGUACGAUCGCAAGGUUG
rnacentral:rRNA from 1 species